UCAAUUUCCAAGUAUUUAAAAACACUCCUCAUAGUCAUUUUAACCAUACAAUAUUCCAAUUGCUUUAUUUCUUUUAUAAUUAAGUUGUUUUUGUUUUUCUUAACAAGCCCUAAUCCUAGCCAGUGAGCUUUGACAAGCUGUAACUUUUGAUCCAACCGUCCACUUAGUGUGAAAUUUUGCACCCAAAUAUCAGUAUAAGCCUUCUAUAUGCUCAAAAAAUUUCAG
rnacentral:lncRNA from 1 species